GGAGUUGUGGCUUAGUGGUAGAGCACUUGCCUAGCAUGCAGAAGGUGCUGGAUUUAUUCCCUAGCACCA
rnacentral:tRNA from 1 species